rnacentral:rRNA from 1 species
AGUGAACGCUGGCGGUAGGCCUAACACAUGCAAGUCGAACGGCAGCACAGUAAGAGCUUGCUCUUACGGGUGGCGAGUGGCGGACGGGUGAGGAAUACAUCGGAAUCUACUUUUUCGUGGGGGAUAACGUAGGGAAACUUACGCUAAUACCGCAUACGACCUACGGGUGAAAGCAGGGGAUCUUCGGACCUUGCGCGAUUGAAUGAGCCGAUGUCGGAUUAGCUAGUUGGCGGGGUAAGGGCCCACCAAGGCGACGAUCUGUAGCUGGUCUGAGAGGAUGAUCAGCCACACUGGAACUGAGACACGGUCCAGACUCCUACGGGAGGCAGCAGUGGGGAAUAUUGGACAAUGGGCGCAAGCCUGAUCCAGCCAUACCGCGUGGGUGAAGAAGGCCUUCGGGUUGUAAAGCCCUUUUGUUGGGAAAGAAAAGCAGCAGGUUAAUACCCCGCUGUUCUGACGGUACCCAAAGAAUAAGCACCGGCUAACUUCGUG